rnacentral:lncRNA from 1 species
UUUCAUGAAUUGUGUAUAAUUAAUUAAGGUUACUAAUGGAGCCCAAAUCUGAUAUAUUUUUUGGUCAGUUGUUGUUUGAUCUAUUUUACAGUUUUAAAUGCAGUAUGGUAUUUGAUGUGUUUAUUAUAUGGUUUCGUAUGCAUGAAUCAUGGUUUCGUUUAUUAUGGUUUGAAUUAUUGUGAACCCGUUGUUGUCUUGUUUGGUGUUCAUUACUAGUUUACGUGUUUAUCUUUGAUUGGAUAAUUGAGACCAAGAAAAAUGGAAAAAGGUAUGUGAAUUGAUAAAUGGAUGAUGUCGACAGCCUAACUAGAUAUCCUAGGAGAUAGUGGACGGACCGGGUCUAUAGGGAACCUUACCGGAAACGUGGUCUCUCAUAUCGGACGGGGUAUGGAGACCUUAUGUGUUUUGGUACCCAUACCGGACGGGGUAUGGGGACGACCCGUUUCACCCUUAUACUGAACGGGGUAUUGAGGUUUAUGGUUUUGGU